UACGGAGGGUGCAAGCGUUAUCCGGAUUCACUGGGUUUAAAGGGUGCGUAGGUGGGAAUGUAAGUCAGUGGUGAAAUCUCCGGGCUUAACCCGGAAACUGCCAUUGAUACUAUCGGUCUUGAAUACCGUGGAGGUGAGCGGAAUAUGUCAUGUAGCGGUGAAAUGCUUAGAUAUGACAUAGAACACCAAUUGCGAAGGCAGCUCACUACACGAAUAUUGACACUGAGGCACGAAAGCGUGGGGAGCAAACAGG
rnacentral:rRNA from 1 species